rnacentral:lncRNA from 1 species
CACGACGAUGCUGUUGUUGUGUCGGCGACAAUAGCAAAUUAUGAUGUAAAACGAAUUUUUGUUGAUAAUGGAAGUUCAACGAAUGUUUUGUUUUACUCGACCUUCUCCCGGAUGCGACUAUCGACUGAUCGACUUAAGAGGGUCUCCAUGCCCUUGAUCGGCUUUGCCGGAGACGCUGUCACGACAGAGGGAGAAAUCACCCUGCCCGUGACGGCCGGUACCGAACCACGGCAAAGCACGGUUCAUCUAACUUUCGCGGUCGUCCAAGUUCCUUCGGCCUACAACGCC